CUAGUACUCCCUCUGUCCGGAAAUACUUGUCAUUGAAAUGGAUGUAUCUAGAUGUAUUUUAGUUCUAGAUACAUUCAUUUUCAUCCAUUUUGAUGACAAGUAAUUCCGGACAGAGGAAUACUAG
rfam:Triticum aestivum genome assembly, contig: Triticum_aestivum_CS42_TGACv1_scaffold_423366_5BS